GCACAAGCGGUGGAGCAUGUGGUUUAAUUCGAAGCAACGCGAAGAACCUUACCAAAUCUUGACAUCCUUUGACAACUCUAGAGAUAGAGCCUUCCCCUUCGGGGGACAAAGUGACAGGUGGUGCAUGGUUGUCGUCAGCUCGUGUCGUGAGAUGUUGGGUUAAGUCCCGCAACGAGCGCAACCCUUAAGCUUAGUUGCCAUCAUUAAGUUGGGCACUCUAAGUUGACUGCCGGUGACAAACCGGAGGAAGGUGGGGAUGACGUCAAAUCAUCAUGCCCCUUAUGAUUUGGGCUACACACGUGCUACAAUGGACAAUACAAAGGGUAGCGAAACCGCGAGGUCAAGCAAAUCCCAUAAAGUUGUUCUCAGUUCGGAUUGUAGUCUGCAACUCGACUACAUGAAGCUGGAAUCGCUAGUAAUCGUAGAUCAGCAUGCUACGGUGAAUACGUUCCCGGGUCUUGUACACACCGCCCGUCACACCACGAGAGUUUGUAACACCCGAAGCCGGUGGAGUAACCUUUUAGGAGCUAGCCGUCGAAGGUGGGACAAAUGAUUGGGGUGAAGUCGUAACAAGGUAGCCGUAUCGGAAGGUGCG
rnacentral:rRNA from 2 species